UGGGGAAUAUUGCGCAAUGGGGGAAACCCUGACGCAGCAACGCCGCGUGCGGGAUGAAGGCUUUCGGGUUGUAAACCGCUUUCAGCAGGGAAGAUAAAAGACGGUACCUGCAGAAGAAGCCCCGGCUAACUACGUGCC
rnacentral:rRNA from 1 species